rnacentral:rRNA from 1 species
UUGAACGCUGGCGGCAGGCCUAACACCUGCAAGUCGAACGGUAACAGGCAGCAGCUUGCUGCUUCGCUGACGAGUGGCGGGCGGGUGAGUAAUGUCUGGGAAGCUGCCUGAUGGAGGGGGAUAACUACUGGAAACGGUCGCUAAUACCGCAUCAUGUCGCCAGACCAAAGAGGGGGACCUUCGGGCCUCUUGCCAUCGGAUGUGCCCAGAUGGGAUUAGCUUGUUGGUGGGGUAACGGCUCACCAAGGCGACGAUCCCUAGCUGGUCUGAGAGGAUGACCAGCCACACUGGAACUGAGACACGGUCCAGACUCCUACGGGAGGCAGCAGUCGGGAAGAUUGCACAAGGGGCGCAAGCCUGACGCAGAGAUGCCGCGCGUAUGAAGACGGGCUCCGGGUUGUAAAGAACGUCCCGCGGGGAGGAAGGGAGUAAAGUUAAGAUGGGAGACGAUAGACGUUACUCGCAGAAGAAGCAUCGGCUAACUCCGUG